GGGGUCGUGGCCUAGUCCGGGAAGGCGGCUGACUCCAGAGGCCACGCGCCUGGGACGACACUUCGAGGGCUGAUAUACUGAGCGGCCGGCUGAUCACCGGUUCGCGACGAUGACCCUCUGGAGUUC
rnacentral:tRNA from 1 species